GAUGAACGCUGGCGGCGUGCUUAACACAUGCAAGUCGAACGAAGCACUUUAUUUGAUUUCCUUCGGGACUGAUUAUUUUGUGACUGAGUGGCGGACGGGUGAGUAACGCGUGGGUAACCUGCCUUGUACAGGGGGAUAACAGUUGGAAACGGCUGCUAAUACCGCAUAAGCGCACGGCAUCGCAUGAUGCAGUGUGAAAAACUCCGGUGGUAUAAGAUGGACCCGCGUUGGAUUAGCUAGUUGGUGAGGUAACGGCCCACCAAGGCGACGAUCCAUAGCCGACCUGAGAGGGUGACCGGCCACAUUGGGACUGAGACACGGCCCAAACUCCUACGGGAGGCAGCAGUGGGGAAUAUUGCACAAUGGGCGAAAGCCUGAUGCAGCGACGCCGCGUGAGCGAAGGAGUAUUUCGGUAUGUAAAGCUCUAUCAGCAGGGAAGAUAAUGACGGUAC
rnacentral:rRNA from 1 species